CCAUUUAUCACACGGUGAACAUUGUUACUGGCGGGAAAAUUUGGCCAAAGCAAAUUGUUUUAGAGAAAAUUAUAACAGACUGAGAAUUUAUUCAGCUGUUCCUAGAUUGUGCUGGAGAGUAUACUUUUUAUAAUCCUAGUAUCAGAAGAUUAUAUUAUGUGAACGUCUAGUUAAACCACAAACGCCGCAAGGGUUCAAGAGAACGUUU